AGUGAACGCUGGCGGUAGGCCUAACACAUGCAAGUCGAACGGCAGCACAGUAAGAGCUUGCUCUUACGGGUGGCGAGUGGCGGACGGGUGAGGAAUACAUCGGAAACUACUUUUUCGGGGGGGAUAACGGAGGGAAACUUCCGCUACUACCGCAUAUAACCAACGGCAGAAAUCAGGGGAUCUUGGCACCUUUCGCGAUUCAUAUAGACGAUUCCGCGUCGGAUUAGUUAGUUGGUAAGGUAACGGCAUACCAAGGCUACGAUGCGUAGCUGAGCUGAGAGGAUGAUCAGCCACACUGGAACUGAGACACGGUCCAGACUCCUACGGGAGGCAGCAGUGGGGAAUCUUGGACAAUGGGCGCAAGCCUGAUGCAGCAAUACCGCGUGAGUGAAGAAGGCCUUCGGGUUGUAAAGCCCUUUUGUUAGGAAAGAAAAAAAGUGGGUUAAUCCACCGCUGUCUUGACGGUACCUAAAGAGUAAGCAACGGCUAACUUCGUG
rnacentral:rRNA from 1 species